GGGGGUAUAGCUCCGUGGUAGAUCCACUGCAGAUCAAGAGGUCCCUGGUUCAACUCCAGGUGCCCCCU
rnacentral:tRNA from 1 species